UACGGGGGGGGGCAAGCGUUUGUUCGGAAUUACUGGGCGUAAAGGGCUCGUAGGCGGCCAAACUAAGUCGGGACGUGAAAAUCCCCCAGGCUCAACCUGGGAACUGCGUCCGAUACUGGAUGGCUUGAAUCCGGGGAGAGGGAUGCAGAAUUCCAGGUGUAGAGGUGAAAUUCGUAGAUAUUCGGAAGAACACCAGUGGCGAAAGGCGGCUCACUGGACGUGGUAUUGACGCUGAGGUGCGAAAGCGUGGGGAGCAAACAGG
rnacentral:rRNA from 1 species